rnacentral:rRNA from 1 species
UACGGAGGGUGCAAGCGUUAUCCGGAAUUACUGGGUUUAAAGGGUGCGUAGGCGGCUUAGUAAGUCAGGGGUGAAAGGUCACGGCUCAACCGUGGAAUGGCCUUUGAUACUGCUGAGCUUGAAUCAGGAUGAGGUUGGCAGAAUGUGGCAUGUAGCGGUGAAAUGCAUAGAUAUGCCAUAGAACACCGAUUGCGAAGGCAGCUGGCUAGACCUUGAUUGACGAUGAGGCACGAAAGCGUGGGGAGCGAACAGG